rnacentral:lncRNA from 1 species
AAACCAGCCCUGAAUGCCUUGGCGACGAUUGCUCUCGAAGAGGCGUGAUGACCGCAGGUUCCUGAGUGAAUCUCUUCCAGGAUUAGCUGCCCCUCCUCCGGGGAGAUGCAUCGUUGAAGAACGCCUGAAACGUUUUCCUUGUACAAUUGGCCAUCAAUGACAGUGAAUGACUUCGACCUGCGGACUAUCUGCCUGGCCUGGACUUCGUCUUCUGGUAGUUCCUGCCUCAGGAUAUAUGCAAUGAACGGCACAGUCCAAUCGGGGAUGACAGCAAGAAUCUCCAUGACCAGAUGAACCACAGCAGGUACAUCGACUUCAGUCGGAUCUGUUGAACUCUUUGGUUGUACUCGUUCCUCCGUGAAAGGAUCUUCUUUGACUGAGGGAAGGUGAAGGUGCUCGAGGCAGACGUCACUCGGGACUGGUCUCCGAGUGGAUCCGAGUUUUGCCAACUCAUCAGCUGCUUGGUUCUUCAGUCUCGGAUCAUGGUGAAGUUCUAGACCUUCAAACUUCUUCUCAAGCUUCCUCACUGCAUUGCAAUAUGUGGUCAUGGUGGGGUUCCUGACGUCCCACUCUUUCAUCACUUGAUUGACCACCAAAUCUGAAUCGCCGUAGACCAUCAGGCGACGGACGCCGAGUGAGAUGGCCAUGCGCAAUCCGUAGAGAGAGCUUCAUACUCUGCCUCGUUGUUGGAGGAAUCAAAGUGUAUCUGUAGCACGUACUUGAGCUUGUCGCCCUUUGGGGAUAUGAUCACAACGACAGCGUCGGAGCCAUUCAACAUCUUGGACCCAUCGAAGAACAUUGUCCAAUGAGCCGAGUAGAUGUGGGUCGGUUGCUGUUGUUCUACCCAUUCUGCUAUGAAGUCAGCCAGAGCUUGAGACUUAAUAGCUUUCUUGGCCUCGAACUUGACAUCGCAGUACAGCAUCUCUAUUGCCCACUUCGCCACUCGGCCUGACGCGUCUCGAUUGUGGAGAAUUUCCGACAACAAAGCAUCAGAAACGACAGACACCGAGUGGUCUUGGAAAUAAUGGGCCACCUUCUUCGCACUCAUGUAAAUCCCGUAGAUAAGUUUUUGAUAGUGGGGAUACCUCUGCUUGGAAGGAGUUAGGACUUCGGAGACGUAGUACACUGGCCGCUGAACUUUGUGUGCUUUGUCUUCUUCUUCUCGUUCGACUGUAAGAACAGUACUGACAGCUUGAUUUGUAGCCGCGAUAUACAGAAGAAGGGGCUCUUUACUGAGCGGAGCAGUAAGAACCGGCUGGGUGGAAAGUAGGACUUUGAGGUCGUCCAAUGCGACUUGGGCUUCGUCUGUCCACUCGAAAGUAUCUGAUUUCUUCAUGAGUCGGUACAGAGGAAGUGCUUUCUCGCCGAGUCGACUGAUGAACCUGCUCAAAGCCGCUAGGCAACCUGUGAGCCGCUGAACAUCGUGUAUUUUGACCGGCCUCUCCAUUCGGCCGAUGGUCCCGAUCUUUUCGGGGUUGACAUCGAUCCCUCGUUCGGAAACGAAGAAACCGAGUAACUUUCCGCUGGGAACGCGGAAUGAACAUUUGGCGGGGUUGAGCUUGAUAUCGUACCUACGAAGGUUGGCGAAUGUUUCUGCCAAGUCAGUCAGCAGGUCGGAACCUUUGCGUGACUUGACUACGAUAUCAUCCAUAUAUGCCUCCACAUUUCGACCGAUCUGGUCGAGAAGGCAUUUUUGGAUCAUGCGCAUAAAAGUAGCUCCUGCAUUCUUCAAACCGAAUGGCAUAGUGAUGUAGAAGAAGCACCCCGAAUGGGGUGAUGAAGGCUGUUUUUAAUUCAUCGGGGCCAUACAGACGGAUCUGAUGAUAGCUCGAGUAGGCAUCAAGGAAUGACAAACGCUCGCAACCCGUAGUCGAAUCGACAAUCUGAUCUAUGCGGGGGAUCGGAAAAUGGUCUUUCGGGCAGACCUUAUUGAGAUGCUUGAAGUCGAUGCACAUUCGGAGCGACUUGUCCUUCUUGGGCACCAUGACAACAUUGGCGAGCCACUCGGAGUGGUGAACCUCGCGAAUGAAGUUGGCUGCCAGCAGCUUGGCCACCUCCUCCCCGAUUGCCUUCCUCUUGUGCGCGGCGGACCGGCGUAGGUGCUCUCGGACGGGCCGAGCGGUGGGAUCCACAUGCAGUCGGUGCUCAGCCAACUCCCUGGGUACACCUGGCAUGUCAGAGGGUUUCCAUGCGAAGAUGUCCCAGUUCUCAUGGAGGAAUUGGGUGAGCUCGUCUUCCUAUUUAGGAUCGAGGGUGGUGGAGAUGUUCGUCGGGGCAGCAGUGUCGUCCGUCAGGUGGAUGCUGACCUUCUUCGUCUCUCCCUUCGACUGGAAUGCAGACUUUGAAGCUGGCUUCUUCGAGCGCAUCAGGUCGACGGGGUCGACUGUUUUCUUGUACUCGUCGAGCUCGAGGACGGCCAUCUGCUGGUCGACGAUUCUUGAUCCCUGCUGCAGACACUCUUUGGCUCGCUGUCGAUUGCCCGUGAUGGUGAUCACGCCUUUUGGGCCUGGCAUCUUCAGCUUCAGGUAUACAUAACAUGGACGGGCCAUGAAACGCGCAUACGCUCGGCGGCCCAGAAUUGCAUGGUAAGCACUCUGGAAGUCCACCACUUCGAACGUCAGCUUUUCCUUGCGGAAGUUCUUGUCGGAGCCGAAAACGACGUCCAACGCGAUCUGGCCGAGUGACUUGGCCUUCCAUCCAGGGACGACUCCAUGGAACUGCAUGUUGCUCUCGCUGAGUUUGGACAUCGGGAUGCCCAUCCCCUUGAGCGUGUCGCCGUACAUGAUGUUCAACCGCUGCCGCCAUCCAUGAGGACUUUGCGCAGUCGGACUCCUUCCACCACCGGGUCGACGACCAGAGCCUGUCUCCCUGGGGUGGGUACGUGUGCUGGAUGAUCCGGCUGGUCGAAGGUGAUCGCGGUCUGAGACCAUUUGAGGAACUUGGGGUUGGUAGGGGUGGCCAUGUUCACCUCCCUGUUCACCAGCUUCAGUCGACUCUUGCUCUCAACAUCAGCAAAAAUCAUGAGUGUUGCAUGGACUUGGGGGAACGGAUCCUCCUUAUCCUCCUCAUCCUGUUCGUUGUCCUUUUCACUCGGUUGCCCUUCGCCGAACCCCUGGAUCAGGAGGCGACACUGUCGAGUGGUAUGCUUUGGAUAUAUGGGGUUGCCUUCUUCGUCCAUCUUCGUAUGAACCGGACAUGGCUGGUCCAGGAUGGGAUUAUUGAACUGCUUCUUCUUGGGGGUAAACUGCGCCUUCCCUUUGCCCUUGAACUUGGUAUUGGUCACGGUUGCAGCUUCUGCCUGCGGAGUGGACGGAGCUUUCUGCUUUUGCUUCCGAGUGUUACUCCCGUCUCCAUCACCGACUGUCUUGUGCUUGCCGCUUCGGAUGCGGUCCUCUUCUUCACCAUUUGCAUAGCGUGUUGCUAUCUCCAUCAUCUUGCUCAUGGAGAUGUCACCUGUUCGGCCAAACUUUAGGUACAGAUCCCUGUACCGCACGCCUGCCUUGAAAGCGCAGACUGCUUGAUGCUCGGUGACGUUCUCCACCGUGUGGUAGAGAGUUGUCCAACGCUGAAUGAAGUCACGCAGGGGCUCAUUCUGCUUCUGGACGCAAUGCUGGAGCUCCACGAGGCCCGCAGGGUGCUUGCACGCCCCUUUGAAGGUCCUGAUGAACACUCGGGCCAGAUCUGCCCAACUGUAGAUGCUUGAGGGGGGCAACUGGUUUAGCCACGCCCGCGCCGAGCCGUCGAGCAUCACAGGGAGGUGCUUCAUGGCGACAUGUGUUGGAAUUAUGCCCUAGAGGCAAUAAUAAAUAUAGUUAUUAUUAUAAUUCCUGUAUCAAGAUAAUCGUUUAUUAUCCAUGCUAUAAUUGUAUUGAAUGAAGACUCAUUUACAUGUGUGGAUACAUAGACAAAACACCGUCCCUAGCAAGCCUCUAGUUAGCUAGCCAGUUGAUCAAAGAUAGUCAGUGUCUUCUGAUUAUGAACAAGGUGUUGUUGCUUGAUAACUGGAUCACGUCAUUAGGAGAAUCACGUGAUGGACUAGACCCAAACUAAUAGACGUAGCAUGUUGAUCGUGUCAUUUUGUUGCUACUGUUUUCUGCAUGUCAAAUAUUUAUUCCUAUGACCAUGAGCUCAUAUAACUCACUGACACCGAAGGAAUGCUUUGUGUGUAUCAAACUCCGCAACGUAACUGGGUGAAUAUAAAGAUGCUCUAUAGGUAUCUCCGAAGGUGUUAGUUGAGUUAGUAUGGAUCAAGACUGGGAUUUGUCACUCCGUGUGACGGAGAGGUAUCUCGGGGCCCACUCGGUAAUACAACAUCACACACAAGCCUUGCAAGCAAUGUAACUUAGUGUAAGUUGCGGGAUCUUGUAUUACGGAAUGAGUAAAGAGACUUGCCGGUAAAUGAGAUUGAAAUAGGUAUACGGAUACUGACGAUCGAAUCUCGGGCAAGUAACAUACCGAAGGACAAAGGGAAUGACAUACGGGAUUAUAUGAAUCCUUGGCACUGAGGUUCAAACGAUAAGAUCUUCGUAGAAUAUGUAGGAUCCAAUAUGGGCAUCCAGGUCCCGCUAUAGGAUAUUGACCGAGGAGUCUCUCGGGUCAUGUCUGCAUAGUUCUCGAACCCGCAGGGUCUGCACACUUAAGGUUCGACGUUGUUUUAUGCGUAUUUGAGUUAUAUGGUUGGUUACCGAAUGUUGUUCGGAGUCCCGGAUGAGAUCACGGACGUCACGAGGGUUUCCGGAAUAGUCCGGAAACGAAGAUUGAUAUAUAGGAUGACCUCAUUUGAUUACCGGAAGGUUUUCGGAGUUACCGGGAAUGUACCGGGAAUGACGAAUGGGUUCCGGGAGUUCACCUGGGCGGCAACCCACCCCGGGGAAGCCCAUAGGCCAUAAGGGUGGCGCACCAGCCCUUAGUGGGCUGGUGGGACAGCCCAAAAGGGCCCUAUGCGCCAUACAAAGAAAAAUCAAAGAGAAAGAAAAAAAAGGGAGGUGGGAAGGAAGGGAAGGACUCCCACCCACCAAACCAAGUCCAACUCGGUUUGGGGGCGGGGGAGCCUUCCCCCCUUGGACUCGGCCGACCCCCUUGGGGCUCCUUGAGCCCCAAGGCAAGGUCCCCUCCCUCCCACCUAUAUAUACGGAGGUAUUGGGGCUGAUUUGAGACGACUUUUCCACGGCAGCCCGACCACAUACCUCCACGGUUUUUCCUCUAGAUCGCGUUUCUGCGGAGCUCGGGCGGAGCCCUGCUGAGAAAAGGUCAUCACCAACCUCCGGAGCGCCAUCACGCUGCCGGAGAACUCUUCUACCUCUCCGUCUCUCUUGCUGGAUCAAGAAGGCCGAGAUCAUCGUCGAGCUGUACGUGUGCUGAACGCGGAGGUGCCGUCCGUUCGGUACUAGAUCGUGGGACUGAUCGCGGGAUUGUUCGCGGGGCGGAUCGAGGGACGUGAGGACGUUCCACUACAUCAACCGCGUUCACUAACGCUUCUGCUGUACGAUCUACAAGGGUACGUAGAUCACUCAUCCCCUCUCGUAGAUGGACAUCACCAUGAUAGGUCUUCGUGCGCGUAGGAAAUUUUUUGUUUCCCAUGCGACGUUCCCCAAUAACAUGGUCGUCCCCUCCUCCGAUCUGGACUGCCACUCGGUAGUCAUCCAGCCAUGUUUCUGGCUUGGAAUCUCCUGUAAACUUGAUGAUUCCCGUCGCCAAUCGGAAGUUGGGCGGGAUGUCAGCCGAACGGAUGGCUCGACUGAAACACUCGGGACCAGACACGAUGGUCCUGCUUCCACUCGGAUGGUCCAUAUCGUAACCAUCGCGGUGGGCUCGGCCCCUGUUGACCCUUCGCUGGGCGAUACGCCCUCUUGCGUCGGGCCUGGGGUCGUAAGUGUCGCCGAGUAAACGCCGAUCAUCAUGAUGUCGGGGCCCAUAGGGCCCACCCCGCGGAGGGGUGCGUGAACGGCGACGAUCUUCGUGAUUUAUGGAACGGCUGCCUCCCCUGUGUCGCUGCUGGGAACCAGGGCUGUGAACUGACCGAUGCGUAUUCGCAUGAACAGAACUAUUGUGGAUCCUGUUGUGCGACUGGGAGACUGCCGAAUUCUGCUGCUGCGCCGUGUGCAACAAGGCGCGGAUUUGCUCGAUCCCUCUACCAGCCUCUGAAUCAGUCGGCUGGAGGGAAUCGGCUAUCUUGGCAGCCGCAGCCAAGUUGAGGAGGGGUGUGCGGAACAACUCCACGUUGCUCCGCCGAGUGUGCUGACUGGCAGAACGGCGAGGCGGACGACGAGCACCGGACGUUUCGCCGAUCUCGUGCUCGUUCCGGCCAGCUUGACGGGGAUCUUCAUGGGAGUUGGCCAUGUGUACUUCUGUUGCAGGCCCGCGACCCGCAUACUCGGAAGGAAACUCAGUCGGAACCGAGGGCGAGUGCUGGGACAGCGGGGCAACCACAACAGACUCUAGAACCGCCACUUGUGAAGACGCGUUCGGGCGCGCCUGGGCGUGUUGCACCCAACGCUGGAGCCGCGGACGGCGGGACCGCUUGUUGCGGCGCGUGACGGUGGUGAAGAUCGACACCGGAGCCGACUGCUGGAGAAGAAGAAUGCUGCGGGCACCAGCACGGAAGUGUGUAGCCCCACGACGGGGAAGCGCCUCGACGUCGAGAGGAGCAUCCCGAAGCCACGGCGAAUCAUCGACGAUGAAGGAGAGAGCGCCGAAGAAGAUCCGAUGACCCAUGCUCGAAUCUCCACCGGACGACAUGACGAAAGGAAGUAGUCGCAAACUCACCGGAAGUCGCUUAGACGCCUGCCCCACGGUGGGCGCCAACUGUCGUGGGUAUAAGCCUGACAGUAGAUGUGUAGGGUACGAAAAGGAUGGGCAGAGCCUUAGCUACGGCGAGGUUGUAUGAGUUCAGGCCCCUCUGCGGUGGAGGUAAUAGCCCUACGUCUCAGUGCUCUGGGAGCUUGUUGUCGAGUGGAAUAUGGAAUACAAUGAGUUGCUAACCCUUGCACCAGUGGAGGAGGGUGGCUUAUAUAGAGUGCGUUGCCCUCCACAACGGUUCGGUGCACAGGGGGGGAGUAGUGGCGAAUAAAUGCCUACGUUACAGGUAACGUACGUCUUAAAUGCUAAUAAAGGCGUCUGGAAACGUAUGACCGUUUCCCCCCAGGGGGGUUACGAUGCACAGAGUGGAAUCCAGUCGGUUAGUAUGAUAUGCUCCGAAUGCUCGUCUCCGACUGGAUGGUUGAGGGUCUGUCACUGACUGGAUGAUGGGAACUUCUUAGUUCAGUCGGAACUGACUAAGGGCCUUGUCCCUUAUGAAGGGUAGUCCUUGGGUAGGACCUACAGGGCAGGCCUAUGACCCUACCCUAGGACCAUAACCCCAUCAGGGGGAAAAGGUGAGUUAACUUGGGGAAGAAUACCGGGAAGAAGAAUCCAGCCGUGAAGCCACUCUGCCCGCGCAUAAGCGGUAGUAUCGCUGAGGUGAGUGGUACUACCGCUUGCACGGAAGUUACUUCCACUUAUAGUAAUUGUAGAGCUCAGGGAUGCGGUAGUGCUUCCCGAGUGGUAUUGCUACUCCCACCAGCGGAACUUCCUCUUAGUGCUACCACAGAGGGAGAACCAACGGUAGAGUGGAGGUGUAGCACGAUAGUACAGCUCGGAGCGGUACUACCGCCCUACUUCCGCUUAGAGAAACAACCAGACUACUGCCCUACUUCCGCUCAGAGAAACAACCAGACCAAAGAGCAAAAAAUUAGAAGUAGUUCCAGCAGUAGAAAAUCACGGUAGUACCGCCGGAGCAGUAAUACCGCUCUCUUGGAGGGGUACUUCCGCUUAGAAUCUGAUCUGCACGUGUGGGCAGAGGAAGCAUGGCAGUGUAAUGAACGCAAUAUCAUAGGAGCGGUACUUCCUCUCAUAACAACCGCUCUACUACCGUUGCCAAUAGAGUAAAUUGCCAAAAAACUACCACAUUUUGCGCAACCGUGUCGAGUAGCUACCACUUUACGAUUUUGUGCGGAAAACUACCAAAAUUUUCCUAGUCUGUGGUAAAAAACUACCAAACUUCUUAAUUGCCCGAUUUAUCUCUUUUAACCAUUUUUCUGGCAAUGCUGGCCCACAUGUCAGGUUGACCGUUAACUUUGACCGUUAUUACAGAUAGGACCCACACAUCACACCUCUUCUUCCACCUCUCUCCACUAUCACGUGCAUUACAUCAAACAGGUUAUGUGCGUCUCGUCGCAGAGCAAACAAAGAGCUCGAAGGCCACCGCGCCACCGGGCUUGCCUCGCCUGCAGCAUCGAGCCGCCGAAGGGCCGCAAGGCUCGCCUCGCCUACAACGUUGAGCAAGGCCAGGCGGGCAGGUCGAGCUCCCCGUGCGCGUGGUCCACAUCGGCAUGGCAGGGGUGGGGGGACGGAGCUCUCGUGCCGCCGGGAAGCGCGGGGGCGGGGCCGCGUCGUCGUCCGCGGCGGCGUCUGCGUGCGUCUACUACGCCAUCAGUGGGGUGCUCGUCGCGCUCUGCGUCGCCGGGGCCUACUUCCCCACGUCCACCUCAUCCGCGUCCAUCGUCGGCUCGGACGACGGGGACAAGGCCGCCGCCGUCACGGUGUACCAUCACACCACGCGCUCGUCUUUCGCGUACGAGGUCACCAGGGACAAGGAGGCGCCGUCGCCGCCACGCGAGCCCGAGGUUGAGGACGGGACGAUGGGCAAGGAGGACUCUGGCUCGGAGGAGGAUGGUGGAGGCGCCGAGCAGGAGCGAGGCAGCGCCGUCACCGCGGUGGUCGUGGACGACCCGCAUGCCAAGUCCGAUCUGGACGAGCGUGUCUCCGGCGGCGAGGACUCCAAGAACGACGCAGUGGCGCUGGACGAGGAGCAGAGCAAAGACCCUGCCCGCGUCGCCGCGAGCGAGGACACAGCCGAGGAGGAGGAGGAUGCCAUCCUGCCAUCGCGUGAUCGGGGGAGCAGCGCCGCCGCCUUGCCGAGCUCCGCCUCCGCGCGCGUGGUCGCCGCACCGCCGGGCGGGCAGGCCGCCGCGCGGUGAGUAGCAACUCCUGCUCGAGCUGCCCGUUCUGCUAACUUUAUUUUGGGCCCACAUGUCACAACGGUCAACAUAACGGUCAAUGUAAGCAGGGCUUGACUAGUAUGCCACAUCAACACUUUCACACCAGCCAUCCUUGUCAUAAACUGAUUUAAACAAACCAAAUCGCCAACUUUUCUGACAUGGUAGUUUUUUUACCACUGAUUAGUCUGAUUUUGGUAGUUUUUGGGACAAAAUCGUAUUGUGGUAGCUCCUGGACACGGUUGCGCGAAAUGUGCUAGUUUUUGGUAAUUUACUCGUUGCCAACAUCAGAGAGCAAAAUAUAAGCGGAAGUGACACUAGUAGUGAACUACAGUAGUACCACUAGAGCAGUACCACCGCUGGCGAGCGCGUACUACCUCUUAUCAAACUUUGGGUAGAUUAAAGCAAGCAAGGAAGAAGCUCCAGAUGUUGGGAAGAAAGGCAUGGUGCAAAGUGACUGCAUACGUGAUGAACUGAUGAUUUCAUCCAAACCUUUCCAAAGCGGACCCCCUCUUGAUAGUACGGAUUUCUUACGACUCAAGUUCACCAAAUCUAAAUCGACAAAAAAUAUUGGUCUUCUCUUUAAACAUCGAGGAGAAAUAAACCGUCUUGUGCCACCUAAUAAUCUCAAAAUCUGAAUGCACAUGGUUAGUCCGCAAAGGGCAUUGUCAUCAAUCACUAAAACCACAUAGAAAACAUUAUGUUCUAACACUAGUGGAUUUGAAGAAAGACUACCCCAAAACCUCAUCUCCUUCAUGGAUUUGAGAAGAUCUACCUUUGUUUCUUAGGCCCUGUUUGGAACCACUCAGAUUAAAUAAUCCAGUUUUUAUAACCUGUUCUGUAUCCAAACAGGACAUAUUAUGGUGUAGAUUAUAAACAACUAGAUGGAGAGAUUAUUAAAAACUCACAAUCUACUCUACCCUAGCUAAAAUCAGAUUAUAGAUUGCUAAUGACCCAUUACCCUUUGUAAAGUUAAAGAUAAUUACAUUCCUGCCACUGUCACCCUCCUCUUUAAAAAAAACAGAGGGCACACAUGUCAUUAUGCAAUGUAAAACCUGGAUUACGGACAUGGAUUUUUGGCUUUGGGGAGCAUAUACUCUCUAAUGAACAGUAAAAUCAAAAUAAAUAGUAAAUACGUUUCAAAAAUUCUGAAUUUUUUGUAGAUGUUCAUAUUAGUGUGGCAAGUGUGCUUGCCAAUUGUCAUGCCAUAUGGGAUAACGGUGCUUCGUUGGUGAAAAGAACAAAAUCAAGUGUAACAUUUGACGUUCAAUUUGUUCAUUUUGCACAUGCCAAAAUACUUAAGUUUUUGACCUGUAAAUUUGCAUGUGUCAUUUGAGUGUGACGACGAACACAUCUAUUUUUUUUGACAUCUGUAAAAUACAUUUUUAAACAGAAUCGUAAGCAUCAGUUGUGCAUUUAUUUACCAUUGCAAAAAUCCAGAAAUAUCUCCUUUACCCAAGACGGCAAGAGAAAGGCCGUCGCACUCGCACCGGUCGUCUGGGAAGCGGCGGGNNNNNNNNNNNNNNNNNNNNNNNNNNNNNNNNNNNNNNNNNNNNNNNNNNNNNNCACGCGUCAGCAGCCCAACAAACCCUCCACGCUGAGGGCCCACAUAUCGAAGCCGUUCCCGGUUGGUGGAGGCCGCAUGAACCUCGCGCCCCACUCGGGCCCGCCACCCCGCGAAUCUCAAAAUAAACCCAGAACAACGCCGACGCAAUCGCAACGAGAAUGCCAACCACAAUGACGGGUGGGGCCUGUCAUCAGCAUUGACCCACGUGUCAGCUCCGGUUGACCUCUCCCCCGGUCUGUCGCCGUUAUAACUGACGGCGCCCGCGGCGAGGGCGCAGCUGGUUAAAGAGGCAUGCUCCCUUCUCGCUUACUCCCCAUCCCGCACUGCCCCACCGCGCCGGCCCCGUCUCCGACUCCGACACCCCCCGGCGGCGCGCGCUCGCCGAGCUCGGUCGCGCUGCGGUUCGGAUCCCCCGGAGGCACAGGCGUGCGGCUUCGGCGCCGGCGAGGGUCGGCGGCGGUCGCGAUGGCAUCCGACGGGCGCGUGGAGCGGAUCGCGUCCAGCAUCCGCGCCAUCCCCAACUUCCCCAAGCCAGGUGAGCGCACGUUGUCGAUGCCUUUUCCCGCUCCCCUCUCUAGAACCCCUAGCUGUUCACUUGCUC